AAAAUGAAAGUAAGAUUAUGCUUUAAACCGGACGGUCUAGCCAAACCACGAUGCAAAGCAAGCAUCUUUGUAUAAUCGAGGCAGUAGCAUCCGUUUUGUUUGCUGAUCUCGAAAAUGGUGAACCUGAUCUUCUUCUGCGUAGGACAAGCUUGUCCCUUUAUACAUGCAACCGUGUGAGAAUCUUCUUCUUCCCAAUGCAGUCAUUGAGUUUUCUGUUUCAGAGAUAUCUAAGGAUGCUCGUGCUGUGUUUCCCACCUCCAGCCAUUGGCAUCAAGAUUAUUUUCUUAUCGAGAGAAAGGUUACUGGGCCCUCUCUUGAUAAAGACAAGAUUGUUUCUUCACACGUGUAUCAAAUUAUAUAUCUGUUUCAACUAUAUGCAAGGCCAUGUUUGUGAUAUGUCACCCCAUCACCAGGCUACUCUUUUUGGUUGCACCAACAUGGAAACCGAAGACCAGCAGCUCCAUUUUGAUGGCAACUUCGGUCCUGCUAUAAAGGACAACAAGGAUUCCAAACUGUGGUAUGUGAUUGCUUCAACCUCUUUUAUCAAGUUGACAAUGGUCAAGCUCCCAUGAACUUUGUGGAAAGGUUCGCCUUCCAUUCCUUUCAAGGCUUUUUGGAUUGUUUUCUUUAUCAUCUUCCUUGACUUAUGAAGUGAACUAGAAGUACAAAUUUCACCUCUCUUUCUACGCAAAAUCGACUCUAGUUCAUGUAUGCAUUCUCUAGUUUGCAGCAAGCCAUUCUUAGCUGUAUCACACAAAUCCAGCAGCAUGAGUGAUCCUUCUAGUAAGUCAUCGAACACUUCCUCAUUACUCUGUUGAACCAAAGCAUUUUGGGAGUUUGGCAAAACAAGCAACUUAUCAACACCAUCAUACAAAUCUUGAAGGGCGCCAAGUCUAUGGCAAAGAGAAGAAGAUGUGGCUUCAGAGUCCGGCCUUAAUCUUCUCAAUUGCUCAUUAACUUGGCUGAUAAUUGGGUGUGGAUUUGAGUUCUCACUCUUCGAACGAACAUGCUGAGAGUUUCUUGGGUUCAAAGUAGAGGCAUCCAUCUUCCUUCUUUGAUUAGAGAAGACAAAUGCCAAAAAAUUGAAUUACCAAUCAAUCUAAGCAAUUUGAGUUUGGCUUCAUGUUUUGGCUGUGAUGGUAAUAUAUAUAACAGUGUCGAAGAAACAAGGGGAAUCUUAACCUCAUUAUAAUUGAGAUAUGGAUCUUCAUCACCGUCUCAGCUAUUGUCCAAACAAUGUCUCCCUCCAACAGGUUUCCGGAGCCUUUAUACAAGGCAUGGUAUACGGGGUUGGGACUAUACAAGGUAUACGGGUAGCUUGAAAGGGAAGCCGGCCGGAAGGAAGACUAAGAGGUGGAAACCGAACCCUCGCCUUCCCCGGGGCAAAAGCUUGCUUACCUUUCUCUAAGAUUUGGUACUUUAAAAGAAAGCAAGUGAUUCGCCUCCAUAUUCACUUAUUGUCCGCCAAAUAGAAAUAUAACUCAAACUCCUUAUUCGAAAAGUUAAAUCACCGAUUGACCCAAUAGCUUAAGUUUAGGGUCAAAGUAAGUUUAAUAUUGUCAUUUAA